AAGCAUUUCACGGUAAAGUCUACACUGUUGGUUGAGGGCUUGUAAGUAAGCAUUUCACGGUAAAGUCUACACUGUUGGUUAAGGGCUUGUAAGUAAGCAUUUCACGGUAAAGUCUACACUGUUGGUUGAGGGCUUGUAAGUAAGCAUUUCACGGUAAAGUCUACACUGUUGGUUAAGGGCUUGUAAGUAAGCAUUUCACGGUAAAGUCUACACUGUUGGUUAAGGGCUUGUAAGUAAGCAUUUCACGGUAAAGUCUACACUGUUGGUUGAGGGCUUGUAAGUAAGCAUUUCACGGUAAAGUCUACACUGUUGGUUAAGGGCUUGUCAGUAAGCAUUUCACGGUAAAGUCUACACUGUUGGUUGAGGGCUUGUAAGUAAGCAUUUCACGGUAAAGUCUACACUGUUGGUUAAGGGCUUGUAAGUAAGCAUUUCACGGUAAAGUCUACACUGUUGGUUAAGGGCUUGUAAGUCAGCAUUUCACGGUAAAGUCUACACUGUUGGUUAAGGGCUUGUAAGUAAGCAUUUCAUGGUAAGGUCUACACUGUUGGUUAAGGGCUUGUAAGUAAGCAUUUCAUGGUAAGGUCUACACUGUUGGUUAAGGGCUUGUAAGUAAGCAUUUCAUGGUAAGGUCUACACUGUUGGUUAAGGGCUUGUAAGUAAGCAUUUCAUGGUAAGGUCUACACUGUUGGUUAAGGGCUUGUAAGUAAGCAUUUCAUGGUAAAGUCUACACUGUUGGUUAAGGGCUUGUAAGUCAGCAUUUCACGGUAAAGUCUACACUGUUGGUUGAGGGCUUGUAAGUAAGCAUUUCAUGGUAAGGUCUACACUGUUGGUUAAGG